CGUAGGUGCGAGCGUUGUCCGGAAUUAUUGGGCGUAAAGAGCUCGUAGGCGGCUUGUCGCGUCGGUUGUGAAAGCCCGGGGCUUAACCCCGGGUCUGCAGUCGAUACGGGCAGGCUAGAGUUCGGUAGGGAGAUCGGAAUUCCUGGUGUAGCGGUGAAAUGCGCAGAUAUCAGGAGGAACACCGGUGGCGAAGGCGGAUCUCUGGGCCGAUACUGACGCUGAGGAGCGAAAGCGUGGGGAGCGAACAGGAUU
rnacentral:rRNA from 1 species